AGCAGCCGCGGUAAUUCCAGCUCCAAUAGCGUAUAUUAAAGUUGUUGCAGUUAAAAAAGCUCGUAGUUGAAUUUCGGGGUUAGUAGGUUGGUCAUGCCUCUGGUAUGUACUGGUCUCACUGAUUCCUCCUUCCUGAUGAGCCUUAAUGCCAUUAAUUUGGUGUUUUGGGGAAUUUGGACUGUUACUUUGAAAAAAUUAGAGUGUUUAAAGCAAGCUAACGCUUGAAUACAUUAGCAUGGAAUAAUGAAAUAGGACGUUCGAUCCUAUUUUGUUGGUUUCUAGGAUUGACGUAAUGAUUAAUAGGGAUAGUUGGGGGGCAUUAGUAUUCAAUUGUCAGAGGUGAAAUUCUUGGAUUUAUUGAAGACUAACUACUGCGAAAGCAUUUGCCAAGGAUGUUUUCAUUAAUCAAGAACGAAAGUUAGGGGAUCGAAGACGAUCAGAUACCGUCGU
rnacentral:rRNA from 1 species